GUGAAAUCCCCGGGCUCAACCUGGGAACUGCAUUCGAAACUGGCAGGCUAGAGUCUUGUAGAGGGGGGUAGAAUUCCAGGUGUAGCGGUGAAAUGCGUAGAGAUCUGGAGGAAUACCGGUGGCGAAGGCGGCCCCCUGGACAAAGACUGACGCUCAGGUGCGAAAGCGUGGGGAGCAAACAGGAUUAGAUACCCUGGUAGUCCACGCCGUAAACGAUGUCGACUUGGAGGUUGUGCCCUUGAGGCGUGGCUUCCGGAGCUAACGCGUUAAGUCGACCGCCUGGGGAGUACGGCCGCAAGGUUAAAACUCAAAUGAAUUGACGGGGGCCCGCACAAGCGGUGGAGCAUGUGGUUUAAUUCGAUGCAACGCGAAGAACCUUACCUACUCUUGACAUCCAGAGAACUUAGCAGAGAUGCUUUGGUGCCUUCGGGAACUCUGAGACAGGUGCUGCAUGGCUGUCGUCAGCUCGUGUUGUGAAAUGUUGGGUUAAGUCCCGCAACGAGCGCAACCCUUAUCCUUUGUUGCCAGCGGUCCGGCCGGGAACUCAAAGGAGACUGCCAGUGAUAAACUGGAGGAAGGUGGGGAUGACGUCAAGUCAUCAUGGCCCUUACGAGUAGGGCUACACACGUGCUACAAUGGCAUAUACAAAGAGAAGCGACCUCGCGAGAGCAAGCGGACCUCAUAAAGUAUGUCGUAGUCCGGAUUGGAGUCUGCAACUCGACUCCAUGAAGUCGGAAUCGCUAGUAAUCGUAGAUCAGAAUGCUACGGUGAAUACGUUCCCGGGCCUUGUACACACCGCCCGUCACACCAUGGGAGUGGGUUGCAAAAGAAGUAGGUAGCUUAACCUUCGGGAGGGCGCUUACCACUUUGUGAUUCAUGACUGGGGUGAAGUCGUAACAAGGUAACCGUAGGGGAACCUGCGGUUGGAUCACCUCCUUA
rnacentral:rRNA from 1 species